CCCGACGAGUAGCCAAUCAAAUGGACAGGAGCGGGGGACCCACGCACGUGGGGUCGCCGGAGAACAGAUCCGGCGCGAUCCCUUGGGGUGAAGACGCGCUCAGCGCGACCGGGCACUACACCUUCCCGCCCGAACCCGACAGCUAACUCCGCAGGCGUGCAUGGAAGGACUC
rnacentral:sRNA from 2 species